GAAUUACUCCUUCACAAAUGAACCAUCCAAUACUCAUUAUGAGCCUUGGAAUACAGUCAGUGGUAAAAAGGCCCUUUUCACCUAAAGGAGGAGCUUUCAAAAUUGAUAGGAAAUGGGUUUGCCUCUAUGUACAUGCCACCAGAGGUGUGGACUGGCAGCUUUAGUCCCAGUACCAACCCCCCUGAACGCCACCUUUGUUCUUUCCAUUUAAAUAACUCCAGAGAAGAGAUGCUACUUUCAUUUGCCUCUAUUUUUUAACAAAACUGUCAAGAAGGUUAGGCUGUGUCACAAACCUGAGCUCUUCUGCACACAGGAGAACAUCACUCUGCAUAGCAAUGAAAAAAGAACUACCAGAAUAUUGGGUAGCAUUGAUCAAAAGAUUUAUGUUCACCCAUAUAUUCAGCACAUAAUCUUCAUACAUAGCUGGCAAAGCUGGUGUUUAGGGGAUGCAUCAAAAUACUUCCACUUUCCAAGGAAGUAUAAGGAGCUCUCCUUUCACUGACACUUUAUUUCACACACAAUUGUCCCUACAUAAAUAUUUUGAAGCCUCAAAUAAAGAGGUUCAGAGCAGCAAAUACCAGGUGAAAAAUGAAACACCAGUGGGUUAUUACAGCCCUUACUGCUGCAAGUUGUCCAGGGAGCCUGGAUUCUGCUUUCUGACUGGCUUCCCUAACCUGUUCGGUACAAGAACAGGAUAAUUCUUUUCCACAGCUACGUUGUGAAACAAUAGAUUAUGUGCACAUGCAUCCAGAAGUUUGGCUGAAACAAAC